rnacentral:rRNA from 1 species
GUAGCUUGCUACCGAUGACGACCGGCGCACGGGUGCGCAACGCGUAUACAAUCUGCCCCCUACUGUGGGAUAGCCCAGAGAAAUUUGGAUUAAUACCACAUGGUACCAUAUUACGGCAUCGUAUUUAUGGUUAAAGGUUACGGUAGGGGAUGAGUAUGCGUCCCAUUAGUUAGUUGGUGAGGUAACGGCUCACCAAGACCGCGAUGGGUAGGGGCCCUGAGAGGGGGAUCCCCCACACUGGUACUGAGACACGGACCAGACUCCUACGGGAGGCAGCAGUGAGGAAUAUUGGACAAUGGGCGGGAGCCUGAUCCAGCCAUGCCGCGUGCAGGAAGAAUGCCCUAUGGGUAGUAAACUGCUUUUAUACGGGAAGAAAAAGGGCUACGUGUAGCCUACUGACGGUACCGUAAGAAUAAGGACCGGCUAACUCCGUGCCAGCAGCCGCGGUAAUACGGAGGGUCCGAGCGUUAUCCGGAAUUAUUGGGUUUAAAGGGUCCGUAGGCGGGCCGAUAAGUCAGGGGUGAAAGUUUGCAGCUCAACUGUAAAAUUGCCUUUGAUACUGUCGGUCUUGAGUUAUAGUGAAGUUGCCGGAAUAUGUAGUGUAGCGGUGAAAUGCAUAGAUAUUACAUAGAACACCGAUUGCGAAGGCAGGUGACUAACUAUAUACUGACGCUGAUGGACGAAAGCGUGGGGAGCGAACAGGAUUAGAUACCCUGGUAGUCCACGCCGUAAACGAUGGAUACUAGCUGUCCGGGUCCUUGAGACCUGGGCGGCCAAGCGAAAGUGAUAAGUAUCCCACCUGGGGAGUACGUUCGCAAGAAUGAAACUCA